rnacentral:lncRNA from 1 species
CUGAUGCAUACCUCCUGAGGACUGAAAUUAUACAAGGCUGAUACACAAUGUGAAUAAAAGAUCAACCAAGUUAUCAAACGUUAAAGAUAUAUUUAAUAAAAAAAUGUGCCAAGGACAGAACAUGGGCAAUAUAUAGUUUAGUAGAUAAAAGACAUACAAUUAAACAUUUUUUUUUUUUUAACGUUAAGCACAUACUAUUGUAAUGGAAACAGAUGUAUACAUUUAAAAGUUUAGACUGAGAAUGACUGACAGACUGCACCACCCCAGGUAAACUCUGGGUACCAACAAAACUAAUUACAUUUGGUUUUAGCCUCAUAUUCAUUUACACAUUUAAAUCAAUUUAAUUUGGCAAAAAUAAAAUAAAGUUUUACUGCUUUCUACAGCAUAACCCUGCCCACUUAGCCAUGCCUCCUCUUUUCACAAAACAUCUUCCUGAAUGGAAGGUACGCAGUGUAGCUCAGCCAAUGAGAGGAGAUCAGUGUGAGUUGAGUUGUUCAAUUGCUUCUGCCCCACAGCAAAUCAUGCUAAGAGGAAGGGGUUGAAAAUAAAAAAGACAGUGAUUGGCUGUGGGGUAAAGUCAUGUCAGCAACUCGUGUCACACUGAAAUCUCAUUGGCUGAGCUGAACAACUACUCAGAGUACUUGUAUUAAGGAAGUUACUUUGUAAAAAUUUAAAGCAUGCCUAAGGGUUGGGGUUUUGCUGCAGAGCAUUUUGUUUUGAAUGUGCAGAAAAGAAUGCAUUAAAGAAUGAAGGCCAAAACCAAUCAAAUGCACUUACGUUGUACUGGUGCCUGUAAUGUCCUUUUAAUAAAGAAAUAGGGUUCCUCCUAAGUAAGCAAAUUAUAAAUACAAAAAUAAGACUACAGUGGCAGAAAACCACUGCUAUCAGGCUGCUGAUAUACAAGUAGGAGAUGGAUUUAACCUCUAACCUUGAUCUAAUAACAUUAGAGUAGUAAUUGAUUGUAUGUUAUUAUCAAGAUAGGGGAGAUACUUGUAAACUGCAAUUAAAAUAAAUUCUGUGGAUUUCCAAUUCCACAAAAAAAGAUUAAUACAAUGACUAUAUCAAUAUAUGUCAUGCAUGGACUGUACCACUGUGUAACUGAAAAUCAAACAAAAAUAACAUGUACCAUUCUAUUAAACAAAUAUAAACAGAAUAAAAAGCAGUAACAAAAUAUGUUGCAAAUAAUAAUAACUCAUGUCUCCUUAAAAAAAAUAUCUUGGAAUGUACCAUAUAUACUACUAUAAGGGGUCCUUUAUAUUAGACUUAACCCAACACAUGCAUAGAUAUUCAUUAAGCCGUGAUUUCUCAGGAAUUGACCAGGGAAAUUAGACAUUUAGGAGAAAAUAGCCAAGCUGAAAACACUUCAAAACAGAGACCAAAAUAGCCUAAAUGGAAAAAUUAUCCAUGUCCACAAUUCACUCAUACUGGCCAUUCCUGGUUUAACAAAUACCACUUACAGAUUUGUUCACUAAAUGGAAUUGUGGAUAAUUGUGUAUCUAGGGUAGUUAUCACCCAAGAGGCUGAAUAUUCUGUUUGUUAACACCCCCCCCCCACACACAUACAUUUUUUGUGUGUGUUGCUAUACCCCCAUUUGUGUGUCUCUGCACCCCCAACCCCUUGAGUGUCUCGGAACCCUCCCUUAUCUUUGUGUGUUUCUUAACUCUCCCGUAUUCCUUGUGUAUCUCUUACUCCCCUACCAAUAUGGUAUAAUGGCUGACAAGGAACAUGGCAGAGGAUAAAGCUCUCUGCAUGUUACUCUGUUUAGGGCGGUUGCAAGUAUUUUUGGGUACACAGGCAUAAAUGCAUUUUGUCGCAUUCCCUCUCCCUCCCCCCCCCAAAAAUGCAUCUCCACCUGCGUCUUAACCCCUCUUGAAUGUCUUACUCCCUUUUUUGUUUCCUCUCAUUUCUUUUGAAUGUCUUUAGUGUAUCUUAUCUACUUUUGUCUGUUACACGCCCCUUUAGUAUAGCUAAUCUCCAUUACACAUUUGUGUGUCUCUUACAACCCCCUUGUGUGUCUCUUACUCCCCUUUUUUGUGUCUCUUACUCCUCCCCGGCCCCUUUGUGUAUGUCUUUUUUUCCCUUAUCCCCUUUAUCUCUUUCACCCCUUCUUGAGUCCCUCUGUGUGUCUUUUUUCCCCUUCACCUUGUCUCUUUUCCCUCAACCCCUCUUUGCAUUUCUUCCCCUCCAGCCUCUAUGUGUGUCUCUUCAAACAAGUCCCUCUUUGUCUCUUUCCCUCCAGACCCUCUUUGUGUCUUUUCCCCUCUAGACCCUCUGCCUGUCUCUUUCCCCCUCCAUAUUUUUCUUCCCCACUCCAGCCCCUCUGUCUGUCUCUUUCCC